GGUGACAGAGUGAGGGAAUGACUGGUGACAGAGUGAGAGAGAGGGUGACUAGUGACCGAGUGAGGGAGGGAGUGGGUGACUAGUGACAGAGUGAGGAAGGGGGUGACACAGUGAUAGUCACCCCAUUCCUCCCUCUGUCACUAAUCACCACCUCCCUCACUCUCACUAGUCACACCCUCCCUCUCUCUGUCACUAGUCACACCCUUACUCACUGUCACUAGUCACACCCUUACUCACUGUCACUAGUCACACCCUCCCUCUCCCUGUCACUAGAGUGAGGG